rfam:Echinostoma caproni strain Egypt genome assembly, scaffold: ECPE_scaffold0019106
ACACUGCUGACGAGCCUCAAACAGGACGAAACAGCUGUCCAGUGC